rnacentral:lncRNA from 1 species
UGAUGAUGCUAGUACCCGAUAUACAUGAUAUAUGUGCAUUGUAUUGUCAAAAAUAGUCCAUAUUUAUAUAGCAUAAGCAUUCUACUUCCAAUAAAUAACUAAAAAUUUACAUUUUAACGAUUUUGUAAAACUGCUAUAUUUUGAGACCAAAAAAGAGUUUUUCUGGACCUACUCCUUUGUAGUCAAUCUAGGGUCCUUCCGUACGAACAAUUACAUGUUUGAAUGUCAAUUGAAUGACUUCAUAGCUGAGGUCAGACUGCUGGCUGCCCAAUUUUAUCAAUAUAACAUCUAGGUUGUAAUGUGCCAUUGAUAACUACCAAAGUUUGUAGUUUAAAUUAACUAUAAAUAGUAUCGAAUACAUGCACAAAUGAAACAAAGUGGAGAUUCAUCGGAGAGCACAAAGUAUGUUUAGUUUCACCGAUGUUUUAGUUGUUGCAUUGUCUAUUGCUGUCAAUUUUGUCUUUGAAAUGGAGACAAACAGAGUCUUUUAUAGAAAAUCUUUCAGUGAAUUUGACUACAUUUCCAAUACACAAUAUUCAACCUGGUAUCUAUGGUGAGUUGAUUUAGAUAUGAUCAAUGAAAACUUUUAGAUCUAGUAAAUUAAUUCAAGGCAGUAGUGAUGGUAGUAGUAAACCGAUGUUAAAAUCACAUAAAUCCAUUAAAAUCAAUACUAUAUACAUUGCAUGCAUUUAAAGAACUAUUCUGGAUUUUCCUUCAUCGGGAACACUGAAACCAAUUAUUUGAAAUCCAAAGUUCUAGAAAAACCCUC